AUGACAUUCCCUGGGAUCCUGGUGGAGCCAUGGCAUGGGGAUGAGGAGAAGCAAGGAGCACACAUGAAGAGAGAAGCUGGAGAAGGCAUGAGGAUAGGGAAGCAAAAGGAGAGGAGUCGCAAUACACGAGGUUGUGAGAGUGAUCGAGCGAGACCUACAUCAUAUAAAGCCGAAAUGUGCGCAAAGGCACUAAUAAUCAUCAAGAUUCCGUCUAUGUGGCUAUCGAGAAGAGUGAAGAAGAGAAGAGAAGGAAGAAGAGACUUGUGUGAGAUGAAGAGAAGUAACCAGGGGGCUAGAUAA
rnacentral:rRNA from 1 species